GACCUGGGGUCUGUUGAGACAGUUGAUGGAUCCUCUGCUGGGAAGCAGACACAAAGUGUCCCUCUCCUCUGCGCUGGGUCCAUCUUCUCCAUCCCCAGGGGAGCAGAAGGUGCUUUGCUGACAUUUAUGAGGAAAACUCUUGACUGAAUACACAGGUUUGGAAUAACAUCAUUCUCUGAUCCUAGAAGCCAGGGUUUUGUAGCAGUGUGCUACCUAAAGGAAUCUAAGGGAUCAAUCGCUGCAGCUUCUCUGACAUUGCUUCUCUGUUGCCUGUCCUGCUUACUCUUCCAGUGGGAAACACCAUGAGCACUAACCAGCGAAAGCGCCGUGGAGAAGCAGCUGAUUCUGGUCAAGCUCAGAAACGCAGCAGGCUGCUGGCUCCCAGCACAGGUGGAGCUUCUGAGCCAGAGCCAGGAGACUUUGAAGAAAGUGGUACACUUUCUUUUGAGUUUGGUAAGGACAGA
rnacentral:lncRNA from 12 species